ACAGUAACCCAGCUGUGUAAAGGCCAGCGCUGCUGAAAUGUUGUCUGGUCAGUCAUAGUUUCUCUGGACAAAGGCUCUGUGCAUCAGAACUUCAGGUAUGAGAUGAAUGGAUGAUGUAUGACUCCAAACAGUCUCUGCUCAGUUCUACUAUGUGAAAUUCAGCUGAUUCCACUAGUGUCACUGUCAUUGACGUCAUGAUUGACAGCUGCUUGUUUGUUAUGCAGGCUUCAAUGUAAAAGGAAGUUUUCAUGCCAGGAAAGUAGGUAACAGAUAACCGAGCGUCUCUUUCCUGUGCCGUCUCUUCAGUCACACGUUCAGCAGUCGCUCUGCUUCAGCUAACGCCUGUGUUUACACCACAGAGCUCCUGUAAACCUCCCGUCACGUCCAGAUCCUCCGGGAGAACGUUUCUCUGAAGCAGACGUUUGUUGUCUGUGAGUCUGUCAGUGUAAAUGUUAAGCGGCUGGGAAAGAGAGGCCUGCGUCCUGUAGGGUCAUUAAACGCUUCCUCUUCCUCCGUCUGUGUUCUCGCUCGUCUUCAGUCUCACAGUGAAACACGUCACACGUCACAGGGAUGUCAUUGCUCGUGUUAGUUAUCAGGAUGAGUAAAGUGGGCCGUUGAAGUGAGGUGAACCUCGUUGUUUGACAUCAAUUCAAUCUCUAAAAAAGGCUCCCAUAGAUAUUUCAGAGAUCAUUGUGUCACCGUUCAAUCGUGUCGUUCCAUAAUUUGAAACUAAAAUAAAAAUCUAGAUGUCAGUUAGAUAAAUUAGUUAUCAGUCUGCAUGUGCUGCAUCGCAUAACAUCUUUGCUAUGUCCUUUGAAGGCAUCCACAUACAUAAGAAUUGAAGUAGAAGCAACUCGACCUGUUUUACAGAAUACAGAAGUAGUUGCUCAUAUCCCACACUGACUUCCAGUGAAUGAACAAACUGUGUUUCACAGAAGAACGUCAUCAAAGUCAUAACCACCAUCAAGUCAUCUUUAUUUAUAUAGCGCUUUAAACAAAAUACAUUGCGUCAAAGCACUGAACAACAUUCAUUAGAAAUAAUGCAGAAUGAUAGUUAAAGGCAGUUCAUCAUUGAAUUCAGUGAUGUCAUCUCUGUUCAGUUUAAAUAGUGUCUGUGAAUUUAUUUGCAAUCAAGUCAAUGAUAUCGCUGUAGAUGAAGUGAAACAGACUAAUAUUAGCGUAGAUGCCAUUCUUCUAAUGAUGUAGCAAGUACAUCGGGUGUUAUGUGAAGUGUUCCGGUUCUGGUUUACCUAAUUAAUGCAGCCUAAAAAUCAGAUUUGGAUAUUAAAAGCAUAUUAGUAUGUUAUGUGUAAGCCAGGUUAAAGAGAUGGGUCUUUAAUCUAGAUUUAAACUGCAAGAGUGUGUCUGCCUCCCGAACAAUGUUAGGUAGGUUAUUCCAGAGUUUAGCCGCCAAAUAGAUUUUGUAUAAUGCAUAAUAAUCUCCCAGUUCUGCCAUUAUUUUAAAAAGUCUGAAGCUUUGGAGCUGUGCUGGAUGAUAAAGUGUGUCCAUGUUCUUGUGUUGUGUUUCUGAGGAUGGGGGCCACACCUCGUGGUUCACCACAUCCCUGUUGAGUGUGUGUGGAGCAGGAGCUGAGUGUGUGUGGAGCAGGAGCUGAGUGUGUGUGGAGCAGGAGCUGAGUGUGUGUGGAGCAGGAGCUGAGUGUGUGUGGAGCAGGAGCUGAGUGUGUGUGGAGCAGGAGCUGGUGCACGCCGUCACUGCCAGGGAGUUUUUGCCCAGAACAGAACCAUGCUGCCAAUCCAGACCGUGUGCUAAUUGUCUAUCAUCUUUGACGAUAGUGGUCCUGACAGAAAUACCAUUUCAAAGCAGCGAGUUAGAAGAAUGUGCUAAAUAUAUUUUUACUAAAUUCAAUUUUAAUAACAUAAACUCUGGCAGUCCUACAGAACAUGUUAAGUCUUUCUUUUCUCUCCAAUCUCCCCCAGAGUCUUGUUUGAAAACCCUUUUAAAUGUCUCCGUCAGGACUGAUGGAGAACAGUACAGGAGCUGUGAUGAGACGGAAACGACGGGAGUCAGAGAGACUCACAGAUGACGGCGAGGACAGCGAGGUUACACUCCUCUCUGGAGGGAUAGCGAGCAGAAAUUGCAGCGUUUCAUGUCUUUGUUUAUGACAGCUUUGAAUAAAUUUGUGUGAGUCACACUGUUGAA